ACACACACACACACACACACACACACACACACACACUUUUUUUCCUGAACUAUGGGAUGUAAGUUGCAUUACAGCCUGCUUUUUUACUCUAAUUGUUCAGUGUGUUUUUCCUAAGAACAAGGAUAUUUCUCUUACAAAAUUAUAGUAUAUUUAUCAUAUUUAGGAAAUUAACAUAAAUACAGUACUUUAAUCUACAGUCCCUAUUUCAGUUUUUACAACUGUCCAUGUAAUGUUCUUAUGACAGUUUUGUUUCUUCAAUACAAGAUUAUGUAGCAUUUAACUGCCAUAGGUCUUUAGUCUUCUGUAAAAUGGAGCAGUUCCUCAGUCUUUAAUGACAUAGACAUAUUUAAAGAAUACUGGCCAGUGAUUUUAUAGGAUGUUUCUCAAUUUGGAUUUGUCAAAUGUUUCCCCAUGAUUAAAUUCACAUUAUUCAUCCUGGCCCUGAAUAUCAUGUGCCAGAUAUAAAGUUGUACUCAAACAAAGGGUGAAAUCUUGUUGAAAAGACACAAGUCAGCCUGAAGGAGUUCCCCUUACCCAAUUAAAUUAGGAUAAAUGAUGAUAAUGCAUUGACUAAAACUGGAAUGCAUAUUAUCUUAUUCUAAACAAGCAAGCAAGUAGGGGAAAAGGAGUUCUUCCCUUCUGUAGGAUAUUUUUUUAGUAAAUUUAUAUUCUUACCUUUAUUUCUUAAUACUUUCUUUGGGUUUAUUAUAUUCAUUUUUAACAUUCUAAAUUGGGCAUUGAGUUUGUUUUCAGAUUUUUAUUUUCAGUCUAAGCUUUUUAAACUACAAAUUUCCUUUUUGGCUUCUUGUUUUGGCUUGUUCCACUACACAAAUUUUUAUAUGGAGUUAAUUUUAUUUUCUUUUGGUUCUAAGGGUUUUCUAAUUCUCAUGCCAGUUUCUUUGAUUCACUUGUCAUUUAGAAGUAGGUAUAAUUUUUUUUCAAAAAAAUAGGUAUUUUAAACUUAAUUUUAAAUUGAAUUGCAUUAUGUUGAGACAGUGUAGUCUAUGUGAUAACAAUUAUAUUUGUCAAGAUAUAUGUUAUAUUGUGGGUAAAUGAUUAAUUUACCUAAGUGUUCCACAUAUUUUAGAAAAAUAUAUUUUUCAGGUAUUUUAUACAGGUUUCUGUGUGUCUCCCGUAGGUCAAACAUUUUAAUGUUGAUAUUCAAAUAUGCUUUAUCUUUACUAAUUUUGUGUCUAUUUCUUCUGUCAAUUAUUGAGACAUUUAUUUAGAUAUCUUACUGUGAUUGUAUAUUGGCCAAGUUUUUCUUAUGCUCUUUUAUUUUUGCGAAAGAAAAAUUUAUGGAUUAUAUUUCUACUAAGUGAACUUUAUUCAUUAUACCUUUUAACCUAAGAGUCCGUUUUGCUUAUUACUGUCAGUAUCCACUACCUUCCCAAUAUUAUGAUGUCAAGUUAAUUUCCAGCUGCACACUUUUUCAUAUCCUUGUAGUCAUGUGAGCCUCCAGUUAAAUUUUAUUCCAUUUGUUGUUUUUCUAAUUUUUAUUAUGUGUACAUGUACGUGUAUACUUUCUCACCUCACUUAUUUCAGUAGGAACUAGGUAGGAGUGUGGUUUUAUUUAUGUAUGGAAACUGUAGUUAUUGGUGUUUCAGUUACUAUCUUUUUUGAGUGAAAGUAAAAUGUGUAUGUAUGGCUGUCAAAUAUUUGAUGCCUUUUCUAACUUGCUGUUUUUUAUAUGAACUAUUUAAUUGUACGAAAAUAAUAUGCAUUAAAAUAAUGUGAUAUCAUUUGAAAAUAUGAUACUGUUUUCCUUCCUUCUUUCCUCCCUUAUUCUUUUUUUUUUCUCCCUCCUUUCCUUCCUUCUGGGGUAGCUGAAGGUAACUAAACUACUGUUGUGUGAGAAUCACUGCCAUUGCUGCUUCUGUUACUUUUUUUUUUUUUCUUUUCAAUUUCUAAAUUCUCACUGUAGUCAGAACAAACAGAUUUCCCCUCUUAACUUAAUGUCUUAUUCUUCAAAACACAAAUUUAUGUUAAUAGACAAUUCUGAAAACAUGUAUUUGAUAACAUAAUUCUAUGUAGACUGUCAUAAUAUAUUUCAUAAAGGGUACCAGUUUUUAUAUCAUUCAGAAACUUAAAAUUCAAAGCGGCAACUAUUUGAGAUAUCAGUUAUUGACUUUGGUUAUCAAGUAAUUUAAUUUGAAUUCGAAAUUAUUAUUUUAAAACCAAAAUUAUUUUCCGUUGGAUUCAAAGGUAUUUCAGAAAGUUACUAGUCAAAAUGUUUUUGUCUGGUUACCAAGCGACUACUUCUUGGAUAACACUAUUUGUGAACAUGUAAUUAUCUACUUGUAAGGUAGCAACUAUAAUAAAGUACAUAGUAGUUUAAAAGUAUAUACUUAAUUGUACUUUCUUCUACCAAAUUAUUAGUUGUUAUUAGUGAAACAAAAAUACAUUUAUGCCCAUUUUUGGCUUGGUCUAUUUUAGAUGCUUCUGGUUAGCAACACAGUUAUUUUACGAUGGGAGCUCUGCUCUAUAUUUCCCAAAAUAGCUUGGAAUACGUCUUCAGAAGUUGUAAUUAUUUAGUAACCACAGUUUCUCUCCUUUUUUCCCCCUUAAAUUCUUACCCUGGAACCUUUUUCAGAUGAAGGAAAAUAAUUGGAGAUUGAAGCAUUUUUUUAGCCUUUAAAAUCCUUUCACUUAAACUCUUCAGAAUUUGUUCACAUAAAUUCUUUGAAGUGCUUAAUACUUCUAUCUGUCUCUCAAACACCUAUCUCCAUACUCAAAAAUCACCUCUUUUCAUAAGUAAUCAUCUCCCAUCCUCGCAUAGCAAGUAACCUAUUGUGGGGUAGUGGCAUCAUCUGGUCACCAGCAUCAUCAUCACUACUAAGAUUUAUUGAAGAUUUACUACGUAUCGGCAGUAUUUUGAAUACCUUAUGUAUUAUCUAAUUCUCAAAAGUCAGCUGGAUUGUGAAUGGUAGAGACUGGAUGGGACCCAGCAGGUCUUGACUAUAAAGCCCACAAGCUUAACUAAUUACUACACUGAAUUUCUCUUACGCAGUAGUAACACUUUUCUUCUUCCUUUGGAAGUGUAUGUGUCAUGUUCCUGACCUAUUCUAUUUUUCAUAGCUUAGUCAUUACUUUGAACAUUUUUCAUGUAUAUGAAAAUUUAUUUUCAUUAAUCACUUUUCUUCUUCCACUGUCUCUUAUCCUGGUGCAGUAUAAGGAAACCAUUUGUCUUCCCUCUCCCUUCAUCUGUAUCAGAUUUUGAUAAAUUUAUGUCAACAACAGUUUCAGUUUUCUUAAAGUCCGGAGUUCACCUGUUUAUCUGUUUUUUCAUAAUUAACGUCUGUUUAAUGUUAACAGACGAAAUAAUAAAAAAUAAAAAUAAAU